CUUCACCUGGCCUGUCAGGGUCCAGGCAGAGAAUCCUGCCCUGGCAGUGGCUGUCAAGGCCCUGCCUUAAUCUCUCAGGUAGGCAAGCAGCUGCUUCCUCCUGACUGCAGGGCAGGGCGGAGCUGCCAGCCCAGUGUUUCUGGCCCACUCAGGGCCUUUCUUUUCUUACAAAGACUGCUGUGUUGGAUCUGUUUUUCUAAGUCAGAUAGUUAUUUGAUUUCCACCUCAGAACUCAGUGCCAGCAUUCAGUGUUGCCAGCCUCACCGCCACCGGCCAUGGUGCGAGAAGGAAUUCGGGUUCCUGGAACAUGGUCAGAGAAUGCACUCCUUGAUUCAGUCUCCACCUGUGCUGCUCACUCCACGAACAAGGAUGGUGGCAGGAGUUGUGAUGAAGAAACUAAAAUACAGGGACCCAGUACUCACAACUAUUAAGAGCA
rnacentral:lncRNA from 10 species